rnacentral:tRNA from 2 species
GGGCUUGUAGCGCAGCAUGGAUAGCGCGGCAGCCUCCUAAGUUGCAGGUCGAGGGAUCGAAGCCCUCCAAGCCCG